CCAGACUCCUACGGGAGGCAGCAGUGGGGAAUAUUGCACAAUGGGGGGAACCCUGAUGCAGCGACGCCGCGUGGGUGAAGGAGCAUUUCGGUAUGUAAAGCCCUAUCAGCAGGGAAGAACAAUGGCGGUACCUGACUAAGAAGCACCGGCUAAAUACGUGCCAGCAGCCGCGGGAAUACGUAUGGGGCAAGCGUUAUCCGGAUUUACUGGGUGUAAAGGGAGCGUAGACGGCCAGACAAGUCUGGAGUGAAAAUCCAGCGCUUAACGUUGGAAGUGCUUUGGAAGCUGCCGGGCUAGAGUGCAGGAGGGGCAGGCGGAAUUCCUAGUGUAGCGGUGAAAUGCGUAGAUAUUAGGAGGAACACCAGUGGCGAAGGCGGCCUGCUGGACUGCAACUGACGUUGAGGCUCGAAGGCGUGGGGAGCAAACAGGAUUAGAUCCCCCUGUA
rnacentral:rRNA from 1 species